CCCACACUUAGGAUUUUUGCUGCGAGUUCGACAGUCGUGCGUUGAGGUGUGGGAGUAACGUUGGGCUCCCUUAAAUUCACAACCAAUAUAUGAAUUGUUGAGGGUUCAGUUCGCCAAUACUUCGGAUUGUUUCGAGGACGUUAGUUGAUUAAGGAGCUUCCCUAACUUUGAGGUAAGGGAUUUUCUACUGGACUCACUUAUGAUUGUGAAUUGUAUGUCUGUAUGAUUGUCUCUGACUGAGUAAAGAUGUUGAGAUGAUAUAUAUAUAUACACGUAUGGAUGUAGAUUCGGUGUUGAAUGUAUACUGUGGAUUGACUGAAAA